rnacentral:rRNA from 1 species
UCCUACGGGAGGCAGCAGUGGGGAAUAUUGGGCAAUGGGCGAAGGCCUGACCCAGCAACGCCGCGUGAGGGAAGAAGGUCUUCGGGUUGUAAACCUCUGUCCUAAGUGAAAAGGAAGGAUGGUAGCUUAGGAGGAAGCUCCGGCUAACUACGUGCCAGCAGCCGCGGUAAUACGUAGGGAGCGAGCGUUGUCCGGAAUGAUUGGGCGUAAAGGGCGUGUAGGCGGCCUUUUAAGUCUGAAGUGAAAUCCCUGGUUUCAAGUCAGGGUCUGCUUUGGAAACUGGGAGGCUUGAGUGCAGGAGAGGUUAUCGGAAUUCCCGGUGUAGCGGUGAAAUGCGUAGAGAUCGGGAGGAACACCAGUGGCGAAGGCGGGUAACUGGACUGUAACUGACGCUAAGGCGCGAAAGUGUGGGGAGCAAACAGGAUUAGAUACCCUGGUAGUCC